rnacentral:rRNA from 1 species
UACGUAGGGUGCAAGCGUUGUCCGGAAUUACUGGGCGUAAAGAGCUCGUAGGCGGUUUGUUGCGUCGGCUGUGAAAUCCCGAGGCUCAACCUCGGGUCUGCAGUCGAUACGAGCAAACUAGAGUGUUGCAGGGGAGACUGGAAUUCCUGGUGUAGCGGUGAAAUGCGCAGAUAUCAGGAAGAACACCGGUGGCGAAGGCGCUCUGCUAGGCCGCAACUGACACUGAGGGACGAAAGCUAGGGGAGCGAAUGGG